rnacentral:rRNA from 1 species
AUGAACGCUAGCGACAGGCCUAACACAUGCAAGUCGAGGGGCAGCGGGGAGGUAGCAAUACCUUUGCCGGCGACCGGCGCACGGGUGAGUAACACGUAUGCAAUCCACCUGUAACAGGGGGAUAACCCGGAGAAAUCCGGACUAAUACCCCAUGAUAUGGGCUCUCCGCAUGGAGGGUUCAUUAAAGAGAGCAAUUUUGGUUACAGACGAGCAUGCGCUCCAUUAGCCAGUUGGCGGGGUAACGGCCCACCAAAGCGACGAUGGAUAGGGGUUCUGAGAGGAAGGUCCCCCACAUUGGAACUGAGACACGGUCCAAACUCCUACGGGAGGCAGCAGUGAGGAAUAUUGGUCAAUGGUCGGCAGACUGAACCAGCCAAGUCGCGUGAGGGAAGACGGCCCUACGGGUUGUAAACCUCUUUUGUCGGAGAGUAAAGUACGCUACGUGUAGCGUAUUGCAAGUAUCCGAAGAAAAAGCAUCGGCUAACUCCGUGCCAGCAGCCGCGGUAAUACGGAGGAUGCGAGCGUUAUCCGGAUUUAUUGGGUUUAAAGGGUGCGUAGGCGGCACGCCAAGUCAGCGGUGAAAUUUUCGGGCUCAACCCGGACUGUGCCGUUGAAACUGGCGAGCUAGAGUGCACAAGAGGCAGGCGGAAUGCGUGGUGUAGCGGUGAAAUGCAUAGAUAUCACGCAGAACCCCGAUUGCGAAGGCAGCCUGCUAGGGUGCGACAGACGCUGAGGCACGAAAGCGUGGGUAUCGAACAGGAUUAGAUACCCUGGUAGUCCACGCAGUAAACGAUGAAUACUAACUGUUUGCGAUACAAUGUAAGCGGUACAGCGAAAGCGUUAAGUAUUCCAUCUGGGGAGUACGCCGGCAACGGUGAAACUCAAAGGAAUUGACGGGGGCCCGCACAAGCAGUGGAGUAUGUGGUUUAAUUCGAAGCAACGCGAAGAACCUUACCAGGUCUUGACAUCGGAUGCAUACCUAAGAGAUUAGGGAAGUCCUUCGGGACAUCCAGACAGGUGGUGCAUGGUUGUCGUCAGCUCGUGUCGUGAGAUGUUGGGUUAAGUCCCGCAACGAGCGCAACCCCUAUCGACAGUUACUAACGGGUCAAGCCGAGGACUCUGUCGAGACUGCCGGCGCAAGCCGCGAGGAAGGUGGGGAUGACGUCAAAUCAUCAUGCCCCUUAUGACCUGGGCUACACACGUACUACAAUGGCGUUAAACAAAGAGAAGCAAGACCGCGAGGUGGAGCAAAACUCAAAAACAACGUCUCAGUUCAGAUUGCAGGCUGCAACUCGCCUGCAUGAAGUCGGAAUUGCUAGUAAUCGCGGAUCAGCAUGCCGCGGUGAAUACGUUCCCGGGCCUUGUACACACCGCCCGUCACACCAUGAGAGUUGGCAACACCCGAAGCCGGCGGCCCAACCCGCAAGGGAGGGAGCUGUCUAAGGUGGGGCUGAUGAUUGGGGUG